rnacentral:rRNA from 1 species
CGCCUCUUGACAAAUAUAAGAGGUCCAGCCUGCCCAGUGACCUAGUUCAACGGCCGCGGUAUCCUAACCGUGCGAAGGUAGCGUAAUCACUUGUUCUUUAAAUGGGGACUAGUAUGAAUGGCAUCACGAGGGUUACACUGUCUCCUUUUUUUGAUCAGUGAAACUAAUCUUCCCGUGAAGAAGCGGGAAUAUCUUUAUAAGACGAGAAGACCCUAUGGAGCUUUAAACAAAUUAACACCUGCUGCCCAAGAUUAUUCUUUCAGAAAUAUAAAACAUAGCAUAGCAUGAUGAUUAAUAGUUUUUGAUUGGGGUGAUCACGGAGUAAAAAACAACCUCCAUGCCGAAAGGGGUUUUACCCUGAGCAAAAAACCACAAUUUUAAGCACUAAAAAAUUAACGUUUAUUGACCCAGUAUAAUGAUCAACGAACCAAGUUACCCUAGGGAUAACAGCGCAAUCCACUUCAAGAGCUCCUAUCGACAAGUGGGUUUACGACCUCGAUGUUGGAUCAGGGUAUCCCAGUGGUGCAGCCGCUACUAACGGUUCGUUUGUUCAACGAUUAAAACCCU